AUGGCCAGUCCAAUCAGUGUACGCACCAGCGCACGGCAUGCUCUGUCUGUUUCUCCAUUAUCUUCAGUUCGAUCACCACAGACUUCACAGUUAGCGAUAAGAGCUGCAAACCCACUCUUCCCUUGUGCCAAACUCUCUCAAGCUCGUGCCGUGGUAGCAGCAGCAAUGGACGUUUCCAAGCAUCCUUCCUCUUCUUGUUUAGCCAACCGCCAGCCUUCCAAAGAGGUUCUCAAGACAUGGCGCAAUGCCGAUGCGGUCUGCUUCGAUGUGGAUAGCACUGUAUGCUUGGAUGAGGGUAUAGAUGAGCUUGCUGAUUUCUGUGGGGCUGGGCAGGCAGUUGCUGAGUGGACGACGAAGGCAAUGACAGGGACCAUUCCAUUUGAAGAUGCUCUUGCUGCCCGGAUUUCGUUAAUCAAGCCAUCUCUGUCCCAAGUUCAGGACUGUUUGGAGAAGAGGCCACCCAGGAUUUCUCCUGGAAUCACUGAUUUGAUUAAAACGUUAAUAGCUAAUAAUACUGAAGUGUUCCUUGUGUCAGGAGGUUUCCGACAAAUGAUCGAGCCUGUGGCAUUUGAGCUUGGCAUUCCUACUGAAAACAUCAUAGCGAACAGACUGCUAUUUGGUACAUCCGGAGAGUAUGCUGGAUUUGAUACCACAGAACCCACUUCUCGAAGUGGGGGUAAAGCAGUAGCAGUGCAACAAAUAAGACAGGAUCGCGGUUACAAGACGCUGGUUAUGAUUGGAGAUGGUGCAACUGAUCUUGAGGCUCGGCAACCUGGUGGAGCAGACUUGUUCAUCUGUUACGCAGGUGUCCAGAUGAGAGAAGCAGUUGCAGCCAAAGCUGACUGGACUGUCUUUGAAUUUCAAGAGCUAAUUUCUGAAUUGCCGCAGUUCAAUACCUCACAGUAA
rnacentral:rRNA from 1 species